rnacentral:rRNA from 1 species
UUCCUACGGGGCGCAGCAGUGGGGGAUAUUGCACAAUGGGGGAAACCCUGAUGCAGCGACGCCGCGUGGGCGAAGAAGUAUUUCGGUAUGUAAAGCCCUAUCAGCAGGGAAGAAGAAAUGACGGUACCUGAGUAAGAAGCACCGGCUAAAUACGUGCCAGCAGCCGCGGUAAUACGUAUGGUGCAAGCGUUAUCCGGAUUUACUGGGUGUAAAGGGAGCGCAGGCGGCGCGUUAAGCCUGGUGUGAAAGCCCGCGGCCCAACCGCGGGACUGCAUUGGGAACUGGCGCGCUGGAGUGCCGGAGGG